AAUAUUAAUCGGUAGGUGAGGUUACCACCGGGAUACGGAUUGCUGCCGCAAAAUAGUGGAGACACUAUGAGAAGGUUAGCAGGCUAUGUCGAGAAACAAGGCAUAAUCUAAUGCAAUUUCAUUGCCCAGUGAAGCUAAAACUUGAACGAUAUUAUACUU
rfam:Clostridium perfringens B str. ATCC 3626 gcontig_1106202603876, whole genome shotgun sequence.